rnacentral:rRNA from 1 species
GACGAACGCUGGCGGCGUGCCUAAUACAUGCAAGUCGAGCGCAGGAAAUCAUCCGAACCCUUCGGGGGGACGUUGAUGGAAUGAGCGGCGGACGGGUGAGUAACACGUAAAGAACCUGCCCUCAGGUCUGGGAUAACCACGAGAAAUCGGGGCUAAUACCGGAUGGGUCAUCGGACCGCAUGGUCCGAGGAUGAAAGGCGCUUCGGCGUCGCCUGGGGAUGGCUUUGCGGUGCAUUAGCUAGUUGGUGGGGUAAUGGCCCACCAAGGCGACGAGCGCUAGCCGACCUGAGAGGGUGAUCGGCCACACUGGGACUGAGACACGGCCCAGACUCCUACGGGAGGCAGCAGUAGGGAAUCUUCCACAAUGGACGAAAGUCUGAUGGAGCAACGCCGCGUGAACGAUGAAGGCCUUCGGGUCGUAAAGUUCUGUUGUAAGGGAAGAACAAGUGCCGCAGGCAAUGGCGGCACCUUGACGGUACCUUGCGAGAAAGCCACGGCUAACUACGUGCCAGCCGCCGCCGUAA